CAGCAUUAUUUAAAUGUUCCCAGCAUUAUUAAUGUCAAAAUACCUUGGAGUGAAAGAGCAGCAGUUUUUCUGGUAUCGAGAGGGGUUGUUUUCCUUUGCUUGCCUCCCUUCACAGUGGAUUGAACAGAGGAAUGGGGAAUCAUCAAGAACAGGUCCUGCUACAUGGGAAUUGCUUGGAGUCCAGAGGAAGAAGCAGCUCAGAGCGAGGACAGGGCUCGGAGAGAGGCUCUGCAAGUACACGUGGCUGGAAAGAAACACCCCCUGGGCUCCAGCACCAGCUGAUGGAAGCGUGCACCAAACACCUGCUGUGCUUGGGUUGCCAGCACCAGACCCAAAUUUCUACAUUUCCUUUGGUCUCAGUUAGUUUCAGCAUCCAGCUUGCACAUUCCUUGGCCCUGGAAAUCUGCAUCCUCCUUCCACCCUCAAGUCCACUCCCUGGAAAGCCAACAUGAGCCUGUAUCUACAGAGUACAGCUCUGCAUGAGACAGCUCAGGGGCAAGCCCAGGAUAAUCCAACAAAACCCAGCAUCUGGCACACUCCAUAAAGCAUCCCUGUAAUUGAUGUGAGGUUGGAGAGAGAUUGACUUCUAUUGCUCCUCUAUAAAUGUUUCAUACAAACCCAUAUGUAACCCUGUCCCGAAAAUGAGGAAUGCAGGGCAGGAGGACAGGAAAAGAGAACGUGGCUGUGUCACCCCAGACCCAGCACACAAAUGUUGUACCAGGCAAUGAGGGUCCAUAAUUACCUUUUUUGCCCCUCUUUGUCUAAAUCUUCUACUUUUUCAACUUGCCAAAUCUUCUCAAGCAAAAUGAAAAGCAAAAAUUCCCUGGAUGGAUCUUACAAAGGCAGUUAGUGAUAGUCUGCAGAUUUCCUCCUGGGUUCAUGCCCAUAGGCAGGAAUGCUCAGGGAAAAGCAAAGCAAAUCAUAAAUAGCAAAUUCAGAAGAAGAAAUCUUGAAAGUCGCUAUUGCAGUAAAUGUCUGUGCGUGUCAGAAAACAUUCUCACAGGAAAAAUCACUGAGUUGUUUUGCAUGAUGAGCAAAUUUUUUUUUUUUUAACCAAAAAAGAAAAAUCUGCUUACAAAUAAAUGCUUGAAACCUGAGAUAAAUUCCUGCA
rnacentral:lncRNA from 1 species